rnacentral:snoRNA from 1 species
CAACCUGAAAUGAUGACUCUCUUAAAUUUCAUGUCUCUUCUCCGACAUUUUUCUGUGGAGAUAGUUUUUGCCUUAUUGAUCUGAUCAGGCUG